AAACAAAAAGCAACCUCAAUUUUAUCUCCCAAAGCAAAAUUUGACACACUGAUCUUUAUACAAGAUAGGGAUAUUUAUGCAGAUGUUUAUUACUCUGCUGUCUCUAGAACACUAGGAAACAUUAAGAGUAAAAAUGUAGUUAAUGCCUAUUUUGAUAAGCAUCUAUGUCUUCUGGUUUGAUCUUCAGAACUCUUUACACACACACAAACACACACACACACACACGCGCACACACUUUCAGCAGAUUCCUGCCUUUGGCCAGCUCUAAUUGUUAUCUGUUAUAUGCAUAGGUCCAAGUCCUACUGAUUUCUAAAGAAUUUAUGCUGGAAUGAGUGACAUAUGCUUCUAGUCUUCUCUGUGGAAGUAGAGGACAGAAAAGGAAGGGUGUAAGCAUGACCAAAAGUUCUAGCUCUGUGGUCUGCCAAAUUCAGACAAGCCUGUGACAGUCACAACUGAGCAAUGUCACCAAACCUGCAUGUGGCCACCCUCCUUGGGGCUGAUGCACUGCAUGGGGUAAGUAAUCAUUUGGUAUGGGCAGCACUCGAACCCUUUUUCACCUGUAUGAUUAUUGUUCUGUUGAAUUCACCUCCCAUCUCCCAUGGCCAAGAUGAGUCAUAGGACAACUGAAAUUCUAUUUUGUUGGCUAUACUAUGGUGUUUCUUUUCUAUCUUCAUGAAACUGGUCCUCUUGAUAUAAAUAAUAAUGAAUUAGAGCAAAAAUGUGAUACUGUCUUUAAUCAUGGAAUGUAAUACUGUCUUUAAUCAUGCUGAAUCUUAAUCCCCACCAGGUUAUUAGCUAUUUGUCAACCCCAUCUCUUUUAUUCUCUUCAGUUGAAGCAUUUCUACUUUAGACAAAGCAGGUUAUAGGGGAAUGGUGAUCCAUUGGAUCUUCAGGAUCUUAGUGCUAUUGUUUUUCCAUUUAUAACUGGUGUGUAGUACGUCAGGAAUAAAUAAACCUCAAAGUGCAAUGUAGAAAAAAAGCAAGAAAGUGCACUUGUUUUUAAAUGGGAAACAAGACAUAAGUCAUUAUUUUCCUAAACAGAUUUAAGAAAAGAAAUCACUGCAUUUGAAAACAGCUCUUGUUAGAGAUGCUCUAACAGCGUUGAUUGAACAGAUAUUUGUUUGAUUGGAAGGUUAAUUAAAGAUGAUCUUUGGCACUGUGAACCACUCACCCUCAUUUUCUAAUAAUUGCCUGAUUCUGUAUAUACAGUAUCUACACCAAGCCUAACAUCCAGUCAUAUUUCACCACAGUAAGGGGUAGGGGGGGAAGCAGGGGAAGGGAAUUAAACAGCCUGAUUACUUUGGACAGUAUCACUUUUUUGCAUGCUUGUGUUUCAUCAGUUUAAAGAAAUAAAAUGGAAUAUUAAUUUUGCUUUCAUUAAAAAAUGAUACUGUCAUUUAUCUCAAAUAUGAGGCAACAAUGUGUGUCAACAAAUGGACAAAACAAAAAAUGGAGGGAUGAGUAUUCAUACAAGCAAAGUAGCAAUAGCAGAAUCACUAGGGAUGUCAAAGGAAAGUGAAUGCUUAGAUGAACUGUUUUAAAAUGUACUACUUGUUAAUUUAUACAUUAAAAUGUAUUUAACUGGA